rnacentral:rRNA from 1 species
GACGAACGCUGGCGGCGUGGAUUAGGCAUGCAAGUCGGACGGUAGGGCUUUAUCGUAAGAUAGAGUUUGAGAGUGGCGAACGGGUGAGUAACACGUAGGAAUCUACCCUUAAGACGGGGACAACCCAGGGAAACUUGGGCUAAUACCGGAUGAGAGUGCGAGAGAUUGCAUUUAAAAGGAUGGCGAAAGUUGUCGCUUAGGGAUGAGCCUGCGGUCUAUUAGUUAGUUGGUGAGGUAAGAGCUCACCAAGGCGAUGAUAGAUAGGCGGCCUUAACGGGUGGUCGCCCACACUGGGAUUGAGAUACGGCCCAGACUCCUACGGGAGGCAGCAGUUGGGAAUCUUAGGCAAUGGACGAAAGUCUGACCUAGCGACGCCGCGUGAGGGAAGAAGGCCUUCGGGUUGUAAACCUCUGUCAUGGGGGAAGAAGUAAGUGACGGUACCCCAAGAGGAAGCCCCUGCUAACUACGUG